GGUUACCCUGCACAUCGAGUCAAGGCAAAUCGAUUCCAGAUAAUGGAUUGAUGCAGAGCUUGUGAACACAUUCCGAUACACUGGGUGGCGCUAUUCACCUCUACGUUGGUUUGGAUACUCUAUUAAAUAAAACUUUAUUGGCAACCGCUAAAGACUCCGUCCUCUACCCCAAAUGUUGAUACAGCGCGGUGCAAGACAAAAUUUCCUUUAGCACCUACUCGGCGCGCCACGGCUCAUCUCGGUUUAGUUGUUUUUCCAUUACAUUGAGUACCACCUCAUCUUGGGUGGAGUCGUCAUAGCACGGCGGCCCGAAAGUCCCUUACCGUCAUUUCUGUGCGACACAAACGCAAUGCAACAAUGUACAUGGAGGCAAUAGUACACCUGCUGCUCGGUCUGUGGCUUUCUGUCAGAUUCAGAGUAAUAGAAGAGGCGGAGAAAGCUGAGAGCGGCGAGUCGAAACACUCAGGAGACACACAGGAGAGUUUGGGAGGCGAUGCAGCAGUAUCAAGCUGAAGACAAGAGGAUAUGAACGAGACGACAUAUGAGGAUGCUCUCUGAUGAGACUUCAUGGGAUUUACCUGAAGCAGCAGCACAUGAGCCUGCAGUGGCACAAGGUGUAGAGGAGGAGGACAGAGAUGUACAGGAUGCACUGAUGCACUACGUGUCAUGCAGAAGUUAAAAGUUAUUCUUCUUGUUAUACUUCUGUUUUUCAGUCCCCGGACCGCUAUUGUUUUCUUUAAUGCAAUUCUGACAAUAAACUUUUGUACCUUUUGCA